GCAGAAUUGAUCAAGGCAAUUUGAGUGGCGACGACUAGUAUCACACAUGUAAGGACGGCAACCCUUUUCAUGGGAUGAACAUAUGAGAAGAACUGCGUUAUGAGGAUGUUCCAUGCAGACAGGGCAUCUAACUUCUUCCCACUCUCUCAAAUUAUCCUCACUUCCUAAGGGCAAUUUAGGUGAAGAUCGUCUAGCAUGGCUGGAACUGCAACUGAAUGGAGAUGCUCUAUACCUAUCAUGAGAUGCUGAACGAUCUCUUCUCUCCUUUGGCAUGAUGAGUCUUUUAGAAUAGAAAAAAGAGCUCUAAAGUGCUGAGCAAUCCAAAGAGAAAACGGAUUAAAGCAAUGGAAUCCUGAGAAGUUGUGAGUGAAGAGAUAAUAAUCUUAUCGAUUCGGGAACAAGGAAGACGAUGAAUUGCUCAGACAAUGGAAGCUCG
rnacentral:misc_RNA from 1 species